ACGCUGGCGGCAGGCCUAACACAUGCAAGUCGAACGCUCCGCAAGGGGAGUGGCAGACGGGUGAGUAACACGCGGGAACCUACCUCGAGGUGCGGAACAACCAAGGGAAACUUUGGCUAAUACCGCAUGUGCCCUUAGGGGAAAGAUUUAUCGCCUUGGGAUGGGCCCGCGUCGGAUUAGCUAGUUGGUGUGGUAAUGGCGCACCAAGGCGACGAUCCGUAGCUGGUCUGAGAGGAUGAUCAGCCACACUGGGACUGAGACACGGCCCAGACUCCUACGGGAGGCAGCAGUGGGGAAUAUUGGACAAUGGGCGCAAGCCUGAUCCAGCCAUGCCGCGUGUGUGAUGAAGGCCUUAGGGUUGUAAAGCACUUUCGCCGAUGAAGAUAAUGACUGUAGUCGGAGAAGAAGCCCCGGCUAACUUCGUG
rnacentral:rRNA from 1 species